GGCUCUCUACCGGCUAUAACCGCACUAUGCAACUUUGCCAGAUCGGGUAGCGGAUCUGUAGUUUGAAUGAGACAUAAUGGGACAAUUCCGGUUCUAGCCUGAAGGGGGACCGAAGCGGGAAAGGUUCUCUAGUGUUGCUUUAAAGCACGUUCUUUGACAAAUACUUUUAACACG